ensembl:snRNA U6 U6 spliceosomal RNA
GAAGUCAGAGCGCAGCACAUAUACUAAAAUUGGAACGAUACAGGGAAGAUUAGCAUGGUCCCUGCACAAGAAUAACGUGCAAAUUCAUGAAGCAUUCCAUAUUUAA